rnacentral:rRNA from 1 species
GCUUACGGCCAUACCAGCCUGGCUUAUGCCCGAUCUCGUCUGAUCUCGGAAGCUAAGCAGGUUUGGGCCUGGUUAGUACUUGGAUGGGAGACCGUCUGGGAAUACCAGGUGUCUGUAAGCA